rnacentral:ncRNA from 1 species
CUGAAGGUUUGGUCCUGGCCUCAGUAUUAAUUUUAACCAAAUUUACACAUGCAAGUUUCAGCACCCCAGUGAGAAUGCCCUAGACACACUCUUAUUUGUUUAGGAGUCGGUAUCAGACAUAUACAUUGUAUCAUCCAUAACGCCUCGCUUAGCCACGCCCCCAAGGGAAUUCAGCAGUGAUAGACAUUGAGACAUAAGCGCAAGCUUGAAUCAGCUAUGGUUAAAAGGGUUGGUCAAUCUCGUGCCAGCCACCGCGGUUAUACGAGUAACCCAUAUUAAUAUUUAACGGCGUAAAGGGUGAUUAAAAAAAACUUAAACCACUAAAGUUAUAAUCUCAUAAAGCUGUUAUACGCACCCAUGAGAAGAAGAAUACACCAACGAAAGUGACUUUAACCUAAUAGAACUUUUGACCUCACGACAGUUAAGACACAAACUAGGAUUAGAUACCCUACUAUGCUUAACCAUAAAUGGACCUCCAUUUUACUUACCUCAGUCCGCCUGAGUACUACAAGCGCUAGCUUAAAACCCAAAGGACUUGGCGGUGCCUCAGACCCCCCUAGAGGAGCCUGUUCUAUAACCGAUAAUCCACGUUAAACCUUACCACUUCUUGCCUUUACCGCCUAUAUACCGCCGUCGUCAGCUCACCCCAUGAGGGUAUAAAAGUAAGCACAAUGGAUCUACUCCAAAACGUCAGGUCGAGGUGUAGCGAAUGAAGUGGAAAGAAAUGGGCUACAUUUUCUAUAAAGAAAAUACGGACAGUACCAUGAAAAAUUACUUACAAGGUGGAUUUAGCAGUAAGAAAAACUUAGAAUAUUUUUCUGAAACCGGCUCUGAGGCGCGCACACACCGCCCGUCACUCUCCUCAAUUCAUUUAUCUCUUUUAUAAAAAUUAAACUACCUCAAGAGGAGGCAAGUCGUAACAUGGUAAGUGUACUGGAAAGUGUACUUGGAUAAU